GCGCCACCGAGAACCUGUGUUCGGUUUCUCGAGUCCAUGGAGAGUCCAGGCCGCCAGGGUCGCUCCUAGGCAUGAAGUGCUGCUUGGCUCUCGUCCUGGAGUUCUGCCGGUACCCGGUCAGCCCUUGCUGGGACUUGGGUUCAACUGAAUGAACGCCAGAACUUCUGGGGGACGCGUGGAAUCACGAACCGUGAGUGAAUCCACGCGAAUCAGCCGACCAUACCUGGAAAGCGCAUCCGGAAUCUGUGAAUGUUGGAAAAAGCGAAGGAGAGAAAGAAAGAUCAUGAUAAUCCAUUUUUGUACAAGAAGGGCAACGAAUAACAUAGCGUUAAGGUGAAAUUCCUUUUCCUCCGUUAUCUUUCCUGUUAUGCCCUUAUUUGGUAGCAUUAACCCCCAAUUUUAUUUAAACAUCUCUAGAUUUUGAAUGGGGAAUGUUUGUGCAAAAGGCGUCAUGCCUGAUUCCCAAAUGAUGAGGAAGGAAGCUUAAUAAAGUCUGAGAAAAAAAAGCACCUAAAUGAGAUUUGGUUUUUCCUUCCCUUUUUCUAUAUCUAGAGGAUGUUUCUGAUGGUCUAGUCUCAGAAAUUACAUCACUAGUCUGCACAGUGGUUCCCUUCCAAGCCCAGUGGUGCCCAGUUGCCUCCAAGUCUCAACCCUUAUGUGGACAAGAAAAGUUUACACAGGAAAUAGUUAAUUCUUCACUUGCUCCCUGAGGUGUCCAGUUGCAGUCCAUGGAGAUCCAGUUCAAUUAUGAAUCUCAAGAACACCACCUUUUCUCAGAUGGUGAGACCAAGACCAAGAUUAGAAAGCCAGCUUCAGAGAAGGAAACUACAGCAAAAACUGAAUCAUUGACUGAAGAGUCUGGCAACAUCAGAGAGCAUGUUCUCCAGGAUUCUGAAGGCAGAGAAUUCUGUGACUUUGGGAAUAAAUUAAAUGAAAAGGAUCAUAACCUCUUUAAAAGAAGACAACAUAACUGUGAUGAAUGUGGGCAAAGUUUUGUUUGGAGUACAGGGCUUAUUAGGCAUCAAAGAACCCACUGGGAGAAACCCUAUGAAUGUGAUAAGUGUGGAAAGGCCUUUACUGUGAGCUCAGCCCUGGUUCUGCAUCAGAGAAUUCAUACUGGGGAGAAACCUUAUCCUUGUAACUGUUGUAUUAAAAGUUUCAGUCUGAGCUCAGACCUUAUUAAACAUCAAAGAGUCCACACUGGUGAAAAACCGUAUAAAUGUGAUGAAUGUGGGAAAGCCUUCAGUCAGAGCUCAGAUCUUAUUAUACAUCAGAGAAUCCAUACAGGAGAAAAACCCUACCAGUGCAGUCAUUACAGUAAAAGUUUCAGCCAACACUCAAACCUGGUUAAGCAUCAGAGAAGCCACACUGGAGAGAAACCUUAUACAUGUAACCAGUGUAACAAACAUUUUAGUCAGAGUUCUGAUGUCAUAAAACAUCAAAGAAUCCACACUGGGGAGAAACCAUAUAAAUGCAACGUGUGUGAGAAAGCCUUCAGUCAGAGCUCAGAGUUUAUUCUACAUCAGAGAAUCCAUACUGGGGAGAAACCAUAUGCAUGUAAUCAGUGUAGCAAAAGUUUCAGUCAGAACUCAGGCCUUAUUAAACAUCAAAGAGUCCACACUGGUGAAAAACCAUAUAAAUGUGAUGAAUGUGGGAAAGCCUUCAGUCAGAGCUCAUAUCUUUUUAUACAUCAGAGAAUUCAUACAGGAGAAAAACCCUACCAGUGCAGUCAUUGCAGUAAAAGUUUCAGCCAGCACUCAAACCUGGUUAAGCAUCAGAGAAGCCACACUGGAGAGAAGCCUUAUACAUGUAACCAGUGUAACAAACAUUUUAGUCAGAGUUCUGAUAUCUUAAAACAUCAAAGAAUCCACACUGGGGAGAAACCAUAUAAAUGUGAUGUGUGUGAGAAAGCCUUCAGUCAGAGCUCAGAGUUUAUUCUACAUCAGAGAAUCCAUACUGGGGAGAAACCAUAUGCAUGUAAUCAGUGUAGCAAAAGUUUCAGUCAGAACUCAGGCCUUAUUAAACAUCAAAGAGUCCACACUGGUGAAAAACUAUAUAAAUAUGAUGAAUGUGGGAAAGCCUUCAGUCAGAGCUCAUAUCUUUUUAUACAUCAGAGAAUUCAUACAGGAGAAAAACCCUACUCAGUGCAGGUCAUUGCAGUAAAAGUUUCAGCCAGCACUCAAACCUGGUUAAGCAUCAGAGAAGCCACACUGGAGAGAAGCCUUAUACAUGUAACCAGUGCAAUAAACAUUUUAGUCAGAGUUCUGAUGUCUUAAAACAUCAAAGAAUUCACACUGGGGAAAAACCAUAUAAAUGCAACAUGUGUGGGAAAGCCUUCAAUCAGAGCUCAGAGCUUAUUCUACAUCAGAGAAUCCAUACUGGGGAGAAACCAUAGCCAUGUAAUGAGUGUAGCAAAAGUUUCAGUCAGAACUCAGGCCUUAUUAAACAUCAAAGAGUCCACACUGGUGAAGAACCAUAUAAAUGUGAUGAAUGUGGGAAAGCCUUCAGUCAGAGCUCAGAUCUUAUUCUACAUCAGAGAAUCCAUACUGGGGAGAAACCAUAGCCAUGUAAUCAGUGUAGCAAAAAUUUCAGUCCAAACUCAGACCUUAUUAAACAUUGAAGGAUCCACACUGGAGAGAAACCCUAUAAAUGUAAUGAAUGUGGAAAAGCUUUUAAUCAGAUCUCAGUCCUUAUUCUACAUCAAAGAAUUCAUGCUGGAGAGAAACCCUAUCCAUGUAGUCAAUGUAGCAAAACCUUUAGUAGGCUUUCAGAUCUUAUUAAUCAUCAAUGAAUUCACACUGGAGAGAAGCCUUACCCAUGUCAUCAGUGGAAUAAAGUGUUUAGUUGAAGAUCAGAUCUUGUUAAACAUCAUAGAAGUCAUACAGGUGAGAAACCCUAUGAAUGUGAUGAGUGUGGGAAAACCUUUAGUCAGAGCUCCAAACUUAUUCUUCAUCAAAGAAUCCACACUGGAGAGAAACCUCAUCCAUGUAGUGAUUGUACAUGAAGCUUUAGUCGCCGUUCAGAUCUUGUUAAGCAUCAAAGAAUACACACUAGAGAGAAACCAUAUGCAUGUAACAAGUGCAGUAAAAGUUUUAGUCAAAGCUCAGACCUCACUAAACAUCAAAGGGUAUACUCUGGUGAAAAGCCUUAUCAUUGUGAUAGUUGUGAGAAAGACUUCAGUCAGAGUUCUGACCUUAGUCUUCAUCAGAGAGUUCACACUGGAGAAAAACCAUAUGCAUGCACACAGUGCAGCAAAAGUUUCAGUCAGAACUCAGACGUCAUCAAACACCAGAGAAUCCACACUAGGGAAAACCCUUAUCAAUGUAAUGAGUGUAAGAAAGCUUUCAGUCAGUGCUCAGCUCUUAUCCGCCAUCAGAGAAUCCACACUGGGGAGAAACCAUAUUUGUGUGAUCAAUGUGGCAAAAGCUUUAGUCAGCACUCUGACCUCAUUAACCACCAAAGAAUACACCCUGGGGAAAAGCCAUAUAAAUGUGAUGUAUGUGGGAAAGCCUUCAGCAUAUGCACAGAUCUUGUAGAACACCAGAAAAUCCACACUGGGAAGAAACUCUACUGGUGUGUUCGGUGCAACAGAAUUUUUAGCCAACUCUCUGAUCUUAUUAAUCAUAAGAAAGUCCAUUCUGAGGAAGACAGUCUAAAUGUGAUGAAUAUGAGAAAACCUUUAGUGUAUACAUCAACUUUAUUCAGUACCAGAGAUACCAUACCAGAAAAAAAUCUUAUGAAUGCUGUUGAUGAGUAUGAAAAAGGUUUUAAUCAAUGCUCAAUUCUUAUACUACAUUAACAAAAACCACAUGGGAAAAAACAUUAAUUCACUUUUUAUAAUGAAAGUUUCACUCAGAGUUCAGACAUUACUAAAAUUAAGCAAAAUUUGGAGAAAGAGUCCUUUGAGUUGUGGGAAAACUUUCAAUAUGAAUAAAAUUUGUGCUGAAUGUCAGUAAGCAACAACAAAACAAAUUCCUACCUUUGCUAUAAUGUAGGAAAAGCUCUAGUGCUUUAUUCAGACAUAAUCCACAAAAGGAGAGUUGUAUCAUUGCAAGAAAUGUAUGACAAUGUAGAACUUAUCUGAUGUUGUAAAAAUUAGUGUGGGGAGGUGUUCAACUGAGAAAGAAAUGUAUUAGUGUUAUAAUCUAAAACCUUUAGUGAGCCCAAAUUACCAAUUGUAUAUCAGAAGUUAUGUUAGAGAAUGUAGGGAAAACUUAAGUCCCUUCCAUAUAUUAAGUGCCAUUUAUGCUGAUAUGACACUUAUUCCCUAACAGCUAGUCCUACCUUAAGCUAACAUAGAUGUCUAUCUGUAAAUUCCCCAUGUGUUAACAUACUAUACCAUUCUGGUAUUAAACUGAUUAGUUAGAUAACUCCAGUGGCCCCUUUUCUUAGUUUUUAUGUUUUUAGGGUUUUUUUUUAGGGGGGAUCUAGUUUUGAUUUUCCUAGUGGGCAUGAGUUUGUACAAGUUCCUGUAAUGUUCACAGCAAAUAUUGAUUUAUUUUAUUUUCAGUAAUGCAGCCCAUAAACUUUGUUUGAAAUUACUUCCUUACUACUAAUCACAGCUUCUAAACAUGUAAAACAGGAUUUAAAAUUGUUUUCCAUAUGUCAAAGUGUGAAGUUUUUCUGUUACUGUCUAUCUUGUCAUCUAUAGAGUGGACAAAAAUGGUAGCUGUGAUAUUGUGAUUUAUAAUAAGAAAUAUAUACUUGGUCUUCAUCCCCUGGUACAAAGCUCCUAAAACCCUUGGUAUUUCCUCAAUGAUAAGAGUUAUUGAAAUGAAAAGAGAGCUGGGCACAAUGGCUCACACCUGAAAUCCUAACACUUUGGGUGGCUGAGGUGGGAGGA